rnacentral:lncRNA from 10 species
GGAAGGACACACACCAAGUCUGUGCACGCCGGCAGUGGUUCUUGUUCUUGCUGUCACUUGGGCCUGGGCUGCCCUCCCUGGCUCUUGAGCUUUCGCCUACCCACUGUCCACGAGUCCUGGACUUGGUGUCACGGGUUCCAAGCUGCUGAGACUGGCCUCUCUGUUGGGGAGUGGGGAAGGCCAGGGCCAGAUUCUGCAGCGCUUCCCAGAGAAGGACUGGGAGGACAACCCAUUCCCCCAGGGCAUCGAGCUGUUUUGCCAGCCCAGCGGGUGGCAGCUGUGUCCCGAGAGGAAUCCACCGACCUUCUUUGUUGCUGUCCUCACCGACAUCAACUCCGAGCGCCACUACUGCGCCUGCUUGACCUUCUGGGAGCCAGCGGAGCCUUCACAGCAGGAAACGACGCGCGUGGAGGAUGCCACAGAGAGGGAGGAAGAGGGGGAUGAGGGAGGCCAGACCCACCUGUCUCCCACAGCACCUGCCCCAUCUGCCCAGCUGUUUGCACCGAAGACGCUGGUACUGGUGUCGCGACUCGACCACACGGAGGUGUUCAGGAACAGCCUUGGCCUCAUCUAUGCCAUCCACGUGGAGGGCCUGAAUGUGUGCCUGGAGAACGUGAUUGGGAACCUGCUGACGUGCACUGUGCCCCUGGCUGGGGGCUCGCAGAGGACGAUCUCUUUGGGGGCUGGUGACCGGCAGGUCAUCCAGACUCCACUGGCCGACUCGCUGCCCGUCAGCCGCUGCAGCGUGGCCCUGCUCUUCCGCCAGCUAGGCAUCACCAACGUGCUGUCUUUGUUCUGUGCCGCCCUCACGGAGCACAAGGUUCUCUUCCUGUCCCGGAGCUACCAGCGGCUCGCCGAUGCCUGUAGGGGCCUCCUGGCACUGCUGUUUCCUCUCAGAUACAGCUUCACCUAUGUGCCCAUCCUGCCGGCUCAGCUGCUGGAGGUCCUCAGCACACCCACGCCCUU